CAAUAGAUACUCCGACUCCUAAUUUAAUUAGAUUUUUUUCUCUAAUUAAUAUUUAAAUUUUACUUUAUUUAUUUUAGCAGAUUUAAAUAUUUAUCCUAACCUAAUCAGAAUCUAACUAUAAAUCUAACAAAAUCCUAACAAUUUCCACCUAGAUUUGGUUUGUAUUCUUCAAUUGUUGCAUUGAGCUUACCACGCAAGCUCCACCUUGAGCUUAUCUCCUCUACACGAUGUCAUCGCCUCCACCUCGAGUAGCCGCACAUAUAUCUGCAAACUUUUGGAACCCAAACCGUCCACACACCUGUUCUGACUGUACUCCCAUUCAGAACAUACAAGUUUUCUUUCUUAUUUACUUCGUAUAUUUCCCAUCUUCAUUUUCACGCCCUUAUAGUUACACCUGAAGCUAAAAAUUCACAAUCCUUCGAGUCCAAUGUGUCUAACAAGAUGAAAUUUUGUUUC
rnacentral:lncRNA from 1 species